UAUUGCGCAAUUCCAUUUUUUUAGCGUUUUAUUCUGACCUGGCAAAGUGAGUAUUAACCUCAUUGAUAAUAGGCUUAUUGUCGAAAAUCAAGAUGGGCAAAAAAAAAGCGCCCGCAGGCGCUUUUUAUAAUGU
rnacentral:sRNA from 1 species